UAUUGAAAACAAAAACCACGUCUCAUCACUGUCAAACUUCGCAGCAACAGCAAAACUUGGUUUUCAAAACCAAAUAAAAUAUAACCAUGUAGCCACAGCCGCACACAGUCACUAUCAGAAAAUGAGUGAAUCCAAAUGAUUAAUAGGUUCCGGCGAAGCACAAAAUCAUGCCCUUCUGAACAGUUUUGCCCGGAUUGCAUACAGAAAGCGGACCCGUGCAACAGCAACUCAAGCUCAUCCGUAUCCAUACCUGGCUCAAUCUGCGCGACCAAGAAGCAAUCCAAAAAUGAACCAUGUCAAGUAAACAAACUUUGUCAAUGGCACAGAAGACGCAAAAUUUUAAACGAACUUAAUAGGAUCACAAAAAUAGAAAAGAAACGGUUAAAAUAUUUGCGCCGCGAAAAGGCACGGCAGGAAAAAGAAGCCAAAGCUUUACAACGAUUAAUCAAAAAAGAAAGGGAACUCCGAGAAGCUGAAAGAGCACUAGAAAGAUCACCCGAACCAGAUUAUGGUCCUAAUUACAGCGCUUGUUACAGCAAAGGAGCUAAUAUAGGGUGCAAGCUUAAAAAGAUAAAAAACAAAGGCAAUGUAAGGCCGUGUCUUGUGUGUGCCAUGUAUGAUAACUGUUACACUCCUCUAAGAAGAAAACCCAAGAAAACCCGUAGGUAUGUCGCAAGAUUCCUACGCCAGUGAAAUGCGCCCGCGGUCUGCCGACAUUACACUUCUGAUGCCAGCAAGAUUGCGUCACGCAGGAGAAUCGCCGAGUGACGAGUUUGUCCUUCAAACUUAUAGCCAAAAGGACUCGUUCAAUGAAAGAUUCUCCAAUUUCUGUUAUCGCAUUUGCUGUCAAUUUUACUGCUGCGUGACAGUCAUAUUGAUCUUAGGUAUCAUAUUCAUAUGUUUCUGCUGAUCCAUUUCAUUAAUAUCGCUAAGCAUCUGACUCUAACUCGAUUAUAAAUAAAACUGAUAUUUAACACAA